rnacentral:rRNA from 1 species
GAUUAUGGCUCAGGAUGAACGCUAGCUACAGGCUAACACAUGCAAGUCGAGGGGCAGCGGGAGGGAAGCUGCUUCCUGCCGGCGACCGGCGCACGGGUGAGUAACGCGUAUCCAACCUGGCCCAUAGUAGGGAAUAGCCCGGCGAAAGUCGGAUUAAUGCCCUAUGUUCUUUACAGCGGACAUCUAACGUAAAGCAAAGAUUUAUCGCUAUGGGAUGGGGGAUGCGUCUGAUUAGCUUGUCGGCGGGGUAACGGCCCACCGAGGCGACGAUCAGUAGGGGUUCUGAGAGGAAGGUCCCCCACAUUGGUACUGAGACACGGACCAAACUCCUACGGGAGGCAGCAGUGAGGAAUAUUGGUCAAUGGGCGUGAGCCUGAACCAGCCAAGUAGCGUGCAGGACGACUGCCCUAUGGGUUGUAAACUGUCUUUUAGUAGGGGAAUAAAGGUGGGGCACGCGUGCCUUUUUGUAUGUACCCUAUGAAUAAGGACCGGCUAAUUCCGUGCCAGCCGCAGC